GCCUGUAAGACUGGGAUAACUCCGGGAAACCGGGGCUAAUACCGGAUGGUUGUUUGAACCGCAUGGUUCAAACAUAAAAGGUGGCUUCGGCUACCACUUACAGAUGGACCCGCGGCGCAUUAGCUAGUUGGUGAGGUAACGGCUCACCAAGGCAACGAUGCGUAGCCGACCUGAGAGGGUGAUCGGCCACACUGGGACUGAGACACGGCCCAGACUCCUACGGGAGGCAGCAGUAGGGAAUCUUCCGCAAUGGACGAAAGUCUGACGGAGCAACGCCGCGUGAGUGAUGAAGGUUUUCGGAUCGUAAAGCUCUGUUGUUAGGGAAGAACAAGUACCGUUCGAAUAGGGCGGUACCUUGACGGUACCUAACCAGAAAGCCACGGCUAACUACGUGCCAGCAGCCGCGGUAAUACGUAGGUGGCAAGCGUUGUCCGGAAUUAUUGGGCGUAAAGGGCUCGCAGGCGGUUUCUUAAGUCUGAUGUGAAAGCCCCCGGCUCAACCGGGGAGGGUCAUUGGAAACUGGGGAACUUGAGUGCAGAAGAGGAGAGUGGAAUUCCACGUGUAGCGGUGAAAUGCGUAGAGAUGUGGAGGAACACCAGUGGCGAAGGCGACUCUCUGGUCUGUAACUGACGCUGAGGAGCGAAAGCGUGAGGAGCGAACAGGA
rnacentral:rRNA from 1 species